rnacentral:rRNA from 1 species
AGUGAACGCUGGCGGUAGGCCUAACACAUGCAAGUCGAACGGCAGCACAGUAAGAGCUUGCUCUUACGGGUGGCGAGUGGCGGACGGGUGAGGAAUACAUCGGAAUCUACUUUUUCGUGGGGGAUAACGUAGGGAAACUUACGCUAAUACCGCAUACGACCUGCGGGUGAAAGCAGGGGAUCUUCGGACCUUGCGCGAUUGAAUGAGCCGAUGUCGGAUUAGCUAGUUGGCGGGGUAAAGGCCCACCAAGGCGACGAUCCGUAGCUGGUCUGAGAGGAUGAUCAGCCACACGGGAACUGAGACACGGUCCAGACUCCUACGGGAGGCAGCAGUGGGGAAUAUUGGACAAUGGGCGAAAGCCUGAUCCAGCAAGACCGCGUGGGUGAAGAAGGCCUUCGGGUUGUAAAGCCCUUUUGUUGGGAAAGAAAAGCAGCAGGUUAAUACCCCGCUGUUCUGACGGUACCCAAAGAAUAAGCACCGGCUAACUUCGUG